rnacentral:rRNA from 1 species
UACAGAGGUCUCAAGCGUUGUUCGGAUUCAUUGGGCGUAAAGGGUGCGUAGGCGGCGCGGUAAGUCGGGUGUGAAAUCUCCCGGCUUAACCGGGAGGGUGCGGCGGAAACUGGAGUGCUUGAGGGUGGGAGAGGUAAGCGGAAUUCCUGGUGUAGCGGUGAAAUGCGUAGAUAUCAGGAGGAACACCUGUGGUGUAGACAGCUUACUGGACCACUUCUGACGCUGAGACACGAAAGCGUGGGUAGCAAACAGG